GGUGAACGCUGGCGGCGUGCCUAAUACAUGCAAGUCGAGCGAACGGACGAGAAGCUUGCUUCUCUGAUGUUAGCGGCGGACGGGUGAGUAACACGUGGAUAACCUACCUAUAAGACUGGGAUAACUUCGGGAAACCGGAGCUAAUACCGGAUAAUAUUUUGAACCGCAUGGUUCAAAAGUGAAAGACGGUCUUGCUGUCACUUAUAGAUGGAUCCGCGCUGCAUUAGCUAGUUGGUAAGGUAACGGCUUACCAAGGCAACGAUGCAUAGCCGACCUGAGAGGGUGAUCGGCCACACUGGAACUGAGACACGGUCCAGACUCCUACGGGAGGCAGCAGUAGGGAAUCUUCCGCAAUGGGCGAAAGCCUGACGGAGCAACGCCGCGUGAGUGAUGAAGGUCUUCGGAUCGUAAAACUCUGUUAUUAGGGAAGAACAUAUGUGUAAGUAACUGUGCACAUCUUGACGGUAUCUAAUCAGAAAGCCACGGCUAACUACGUG
rnacentral:rRNA from 1 species